rnacentral:rRNA from 1 species
CGGCGGACGGGUGAGUAACGCGUGGGUAACCUGCCUCAUACAGGGGGAUAACAGUUAGAAAUGGCUGCUAAUACCGCAUAAGACCACAGUACUGCAUGGUACAGUGGUAAAAACUCCGGUGGUAUGAGAUGGACCCGCGUCUGAUUAGGUAGUUGGUGAGGUAACGGCCCACCGAGCCGACGAUCAGUAGCCGACCUGAGAGGGUGACCGGCCACAUUGGGACUGAGAUACGGCCCAG